GGCGGCAGGCUUAACACAUGCAAGUCGAGCGGUAGCAGAUCUAGCUUGCUAGAUGCUGACGAGCGGCGGACGGGUGAGUAACGCGUAGGAACCUGCCCAGUAGUGGGGGAUAGCCCGGGGAAACUCGGAUUAAUACCGCAUACGCUCUACGGAGGAAAGAGGGGGCUUCGGGCUCUCGCUAUUGGAUGGGCCUGCGUGAGAUUAGCUAGUUGGUGAGGUAAUGGCUCACCAAGGCGACGAUCUCUAGCUGGUCUGAGAGGAUGAUCAGCCACACUGGGACUGAGACACGGCCCAGACUCCUACGGGAGGCAGCAGUGGGGAAUAUUGCACAAUGGGCGCAAGCCUGAUGCAGCCAUGCCGCGUGUGUGAAGAAGGCUUUCGGGUUGUAAAGCACUUUCAGUGGGGAGGAAGGCCUCGUAGUUAAUAGCUGCGAGGAUUGACGUUACCCACAGAAGAAGCACCGGCUAACUCCGUG
rnacentral:rRNA from 1 species